CGAAAUUCGGUUGGUGAAAACUUUUUAGGUCUGAUGCGGGAAGAGGGUGUAAACAUUUUGAAAAGGUUUUUGAGACUUCUCAAGGAUACUGUGUCUUGGACCUUGGACUCUGGCUUAUCUCUAGUGAUGGCAAGUUACCAAUCUUCAGAAAGAAGACAGACCUCUGUUUGGCAGGAGUUCUAUGGAGACUGCUUAUGAUCCAUCCCCAGAGAAACCUGUGCUGUGCGCCUCGAUCAGCUCCAAAACCUCCAGGUUCUCAUCCUUUUCCAGAAUUGAAGACAACACAGCCGGCAGCUCAGUCUGAUGUAACGGCUUUACUUUUACU